rnacentral:snRNA from 1 species
UGUUAAAAUUAGAGUCAAU